rnacentral:rRNA from 1 species
GUUCCCAUCCCGAACACAGCAGUUAAGCUCGCUUGCGGUGACAAUACUUGGCUGGCGACGGCCCGGGAAGAUAACUCAAUGCGCACA